UACGUAGGGGGCAAGCGUUGUCCGGAUUUAUUGGGCGUAAAGAGCGUGUAGGCGGCCAUGUAGGUCCGUUGUGAAAACUCGAGGCUCAACCUCGAGACGUCGGCGGAAACCAUCUGGCUAGAGUCCGGAAGAGGAGAGUGGAAUUCCUGGUGUAGCGGUGAAAUGCGCAGAUAUAAGGAAGAACACCCGUGGCGAAGGCGGCUCUCUGGGACGGUACUGACGCUGAGACGCGAAAGCGUGGGGAGCGAACAGG
rnacentral:rRNA from 1 species